rnacentral:lncRNA from 1 species
GCCGAUAUGGCGGGCAGCGGGAAAAGAAUUCACGGACUCCUAACAGGAUCGUGAAAGGUCAACGGAUGAUGUAAAAGGCUCAUAGCAGUGCUCCUUUGCCCCAUGGCGCACACCAUCAGUGUGGAAGAGGAGGGAUUCCAGACACUUCCAGUUGUCCUUCACUUGACGUCAUGCUUCAGUGUUGCGAUGCAAAUGAUUUCAAGCACAUUAGAGUAAGUGGACACCUUGGAACAUCAGGUCUAGCGCUCCACACCCUUCCUCCUCAAGACAUUUUGUUAAGAGACCUUCGUC